AGUGCGGCGCGCUGCAGACUUCCAUGGCAGUUAGCGGGGAUUUAAUUAAGCCGGGAGCUAUAAAUCCCUGAGCCACUGGGGGGAGAUUGUAAACGCGCGCUCAGGGAGCUGAAUAAAUGACGGAAGGGAGAAAUUCGGCUUCUCGAAGAAAGCAGAAAAUGUCUUAACUCAUGCUUCUCCCGAUCUCCAUGAUCAGAUAUCUUCUAGGCUCUACUUCUUAAAGGUUCUGUUACCUCACCAUCGCCAUAUUGGGGGUUGAACUUCCAACACUUGAACCUGCUCAGUGUAUCCAACACAUGACGUCAGUAGCAUCUAGUAAUGACAAGCCCUCAUCACUGCUGGGCGAUGGACUGCUCCUCCAUUCUGGAAGCCCUUCCCACUGGCCUCUAUGGAGACAUACUCUCUGGCUUUCCUCUUACCUCCUCAGUGGUUGUACGGCUUGUCCUAGCUUCUCUCUCUCCAAUCACUACAAGUUGGAUUGCCGAAAAGAUCUACGUUGAGCCCUCCUCUUCUGUCCUACCGAGAUCAUCUCAUCUAGUUUCAUAGCUGCAGAUACAAUCAUUAUACCAAGAACUAAUUUUUAUCAUUAGCUCUGGCUCUUCACCUGAGUACCAAACAUUUAUAUGUCACCACCCACUUGAGUCUCAAUGAUUCUCUAACUACUAACAAGUUAAUCUCCCAAAAUUUCAUAAAUAAACAUUGUUCAAACCCA
rnacentral:lncRNA from 1 species